rnacentral:lncRNA from 1 species
CUAAACUUGAAUCUGAUGUGUAUGCCUGGUUUGGGAGAAGAGAUGUGCAAGUACAAGAAUCCGGACUUCCUUGAACCACCUGCUUAGCAAUGCUUGUGUAACUAUUUAAAAUUGGGCUCUAUUGAAAACUCCCCUGUGAGAUGUACAGCACAGUCUUCCAGCCGGCAGUCUUCCUGACAUAUAACUAUGGUUCAGUGCUACCUGCACUGAGGCGGGGCAUGAAAAGCAAGAUCGAAUGAGGAGAAAUCAACAGCCAUCUUUCCGGCUCAGAAGACCAGAAGAACAGCAGCAGUUGGUCUGCAAAGAGAAAGAGAAGAUUAAAUCGGAUAUUCAAAGAAUGGAAGCCAGAUAUGAAGGGAGAAUCCUAAUGCCUUUGUGCAGCAGCUACCGUUUCCCAUAAUACUCACUCUAAAUCGAUGUCACUGCAAAUAAAAAUGUAAGUAAAGAAAGUGGCA